CAUCAUAAUGACUACAAGAAGUCGUGUUCAAACCAAACUGACUGUGAGCCGCCGAAUGUGAGCAGGCUCACUGUGAGCCCCAUUGUGAACGUGA